AACGGACGAGAAGCUUGCUUCUCUGAUGUUAGCGGCGGACGGGUGAGUAACACGUGGAUAACCUACCUAUAAGACUGGGAUAACUUCGGGAAACCGGAGCUAAUACCGGAUAAUAUUUUGAACCGCAUGGUUCAAAAGUGAAAGACGGUCUUGCUGUCACUUAUAGAUGGAUCCGCGCUGCAUUAGCUAGUUGGUAAGGUAACGGCUUACCAAGGCAACGAUGCAUAGCCGACCUGAGAGGGUGAUCGGCCACACUGGAACUGAGACACGGUCCAGACUCCUACGGGAGGCAGCAGUAGGGAAUCUUCCGCAAUGGGCGAAAGCCUGACGGAGCAACGCCGCGUGAGUGAUGAAGGUCUUCGGAUCGUAAAACUCUGUUAUUAGGGAAGAACAUAUGUGUAAGUAACUGUGCACAUCUUGACGGUACCUAAUCAGAAAGCCACGGCUAACUACGUGCCAGCAGCCGCGGUAAUACGUAGGUGGCAAGCGUUAUCCGGAAUUAUUGGGCGUAAAGCGCGCGUAGGCGGUUUUUUAAGUCUGAUGUGAAAGCCCACGGCUCAACCGUGGAGGGUCAUUGGAAACUGGAAAACUUGAGUGCAGAAGAGGAAAGUGGAAUUCCAUGUGUAGCGGUGAAAUGCGCAGAGAUAUGGAGGAACACCAGUGGCGAAGGCGACUUUCUGGUCUGUAACUGACGCUGAUGUGCGAAAGCGUGGGGAUCAAACA
rnacentral:rRNA from 1 species